rnacentral:rRNA from 1 species
UACGAAGGGGGCUAGCGUUGUUCGGAAUUACUGGGCGUAAAGCGCACGUAGGCGGAUAUUUAAGUCGGGGGUGAAAUCCCGGGGCUCAACCCCGGAACUGCCUUCGAUACUGGGUAUCUUGAGUCCGGAAGAGGAGAGUGGAAUUCCUGGUGUAGCGGUGAAAUGCGCAGAUAUCAGGAAGAACACCAAUGGCGAAGGCAGCUCUCUGGGACGGUACUGACGCUGAGACGCGAAAGCGUGGGGAGCGAACAGG